UGAGGAAUAUUGGUCAAUGGACGCAAGUCUGAACCAGCCAAGUAGCGUGCAGGAUGACGGCCCUAUGGGUUGUAAACUGCUUUUAUAUGGGGAUAAAGUGGGGAACGUGUUCCCUUUUGCAGGUACCAUAUGAAUAAGGACCGGCUAAUUCCGUGCCAGCAGCCGCGGUAAUACGGAAGGUUCGGGCGUUAUCCGGAUUUAUUGGGUUUAAAGGGAGCGUAGGCCGUUUGGUAAGCGUGUUGUGAAAUGUAGGAGCUCAACUUCUAGAUUGCGGCUCGAACUGUCAGACUUGAGUGCGCACAACGUAGGCGGAAUUCAUGGUGUAGCGGUGAAAUGCUUAGAUAUCAUGAAGAACUCCGAUUGCGAAGGCAGCUUACGGGAGCGACACUGACGCUGAAGCUCGAAGGUGCGGGUAUCGAACAGG
rnacentral:rRNA from 1 species